GACGAACUGUCCAAACGUUGUUCGGAAUCACUGGGCUUAAAGGGCGCGUAGGCGGCGAUGUAAGUCAGGCGUGAAAGCCCCGGGCUCAACCUGGGAACGGCGCUUGAUACUGCGUUGCUUGAGGACGGGAGAGGAUGGUGGAAUUCCCAGUGUAGAGGUGAAAUUCGUAGAUAUUGGGAAGAACACCGGUGGCGAAGGCGGCCAUCUGGACCGUUUCUGACGCUGAGGCGCGAAAGCUAGGGGAGCAAACGGG
rnacentral:rRNA from 1 species